AGCAACAAAUGCCCUGCUUCCAGGAAAAGCCUCUAAGCAUCAGGUAACAUCAAAUCGUACCCCAAACCGACACAGGUGGUCAGGUAGAGAAUACCAAGGCGCUUGAGAGAACUCGGGUGAAGGAACUAGGCAAAAUGGUGCCGUAACUUCGGGAGAAGGCACGCUGACACGUAGGUGAAGUGAUUUACUCAUGGAGCUGAAGUCAGUCGAAGAUACCAGCUGGCUGCAACUGUUUAUUAAAAACACAGCACUGUGCAAACACGAAAGUGGACGUAUACGGUGUGACGCCUGCCCGGUGCCGGAAGGUUAAUUGAUGGGGUCAGCGCAAGCGAAGCUCCUGAUCGAAGCCCCGGUAAACGGCGGCCGUAACUAUAACGGUCCUAAGGUAGCGAAAUUCCUUGUCGGGUAAGUUCCGACCUGCACGAAUGGCGUAAUGAUGGCCAGGCUGUCUCCACCCGAGACUCAGUGAAAUUGAACUCGCUGUGAAGAUGCAGUGUACCCGCGGCAAGACGGAAAGACCCCGUGAACCUUUACUAUAGCUUGACACUGAACAUUGAGCCUUGAUGUGUAGGAUAGGUGGGAGGCUUUGAAGCGUGGACGCCAGUCUGCGUGGAGCCGACCUUGAAAUACCACCCUUUAAUGUUUGAUGUUCUAACGUGGACCCGUAAUCCGGGUUGCGGACAGUGUCUGGUGGGUAGUUUGACUGGGGCGGUCUCCUCCUAAAGAGUAACGGAGGAGCACGAAGGUUGGCUAAUCCUGGUCGGACAUCAGGAGGUUAGUGCAAUGGCAUAAGCCAGCUUGACUGCGAGCGUGACGGCGCGAGCAGGUGCGAAAGCAGGUCAUAGUGAUCCGGUGGUUCUGAAUGGAAGGGCCAUCGCUCAACGGAUAAAAGGUACUCCGGGGAUAACAGGCUGAUACCGCCCAAGAGUUCAUAUCGACGGCGGUGUUUGGCACCUCGAUGUCGGCUCAUCACAUCCUGGGGCUGAAGUAGGUCCCAAGGGUAUGGCUGUUCGCCAUUUAAAGUGGUACGCGAGCUGGGUUUAGAACGUCGUGAGACAGUUCGGUCCCUAUCUGCCGUGGGCGCUGGAAGACUGAGGGGGGCUGCUCCUAGUACGAGAGGACCGGAGUGGACGCAUCACUGGUGUUCGGGUUGUCAUGCCAAUGGCACUGCCCGGUAGCUAAAUGCGGAAAAGAUAAGUGCUGAAAGCAUCUAAGCACGAAACUUGCCCCGAGAUGAGUCUUCCCUGAGACUUUGAGUCUCCUGAAGGAACGUUAAAGACGAUGACGUUGAUAGGCCGGGUGUGUAAGCGCAGCGAUGCGUUGAGCUAACCGGUACUAAUGAACCGUGAGGCUUAACCUUACAAC
rnacentral:rRNA from 1 species